ACUUUCCUUGUCAUGGGGUGUGAGAGCUGCUUAAUGAACGAAUAGUGAGAGUAGCCCUGCUAACACCAUAACAACACAUGAGCAUCACCUGGACUUCUGUCCAGAUCCUGGUGCAAUUUUUGGAUCC
rnacentral:ncRNA from 1 species